GCAAACUUGGUCAUUUAGAGGAAGUAAAAGUCGUAACAAGGUAACCGUAGGUGAACCUGCGGUUGGAUCAUUAACAAAACAUCAAUACGUCCGAAAUUGGCCCCACAAGGGACUUUUGAGGGCGGGGAUGCUCAAAAGGCAUCAACCACACCUCUUGUGAACAACUGAACGUCUAUUGGCGACAGAGCCGCGGUGCGCGCGUCAGCGAGGUGCCACGGAUUUCCGCCGCACCGUCCCAAACCUCCUGAGAAGGCGGCAAUUGAGACGAUGUGGGUGGGCGGGGCUUGGGAGGAUAUGUGGACAGAGGAUGCCAUCCUUGUCCCUGUCGCCCAGUCACGUUGUCGCCAGCAAAUCUUGCACACCCCGUGUUUUUUGCGCCCUGGCGCAUCAUUUCAACGUGUCUGAAAGAAUAUGAGAAGCAUAAUUGAGAAACAACUUUAGACAACGGAUCUCUUGGCUCUCGCAUCGAUGAAGAACGCAGC
rnacentral:misc_RNA from 1 species